AACGAACGCUGGCGGCAGGCCUAACACAUGCAAGUCGAGCGAGCAUUUCGGUGCUAGCGGCGGACGGGUGAGUAACGCGUGGGAACGUGCCCUUUUCUGCGGAAUAGUCCUGGGAAACUGGGGGUAAUACCGCAUACGCCCUUUUGGGGAAAGAUUUAUCGGAGAAGGAUCGGCCCGCGUUGGAUUAGGUAGUUGGUGGGGUAAUGGCCCACCAAGCCGACGAUCCAUAGCUGGUUUGAGAGGAUGAUCAGCCACACUGGGACUGAGACACGGCCCAGACUCCUACGGGAGGCAGCAGUGGGGAAUCUUAGACAACGGGGGCAACCCUGAUCGAGCCAUGCCGCGUGAGUGAUGAAGGCCUUAGGGUUGUAAAGCUCUUUCAGCUGGGAAGAUAAUGACGGUACCAGCAGAAGAAGCCCCGGCUAACUCCGUG
rnacentral:rRNA from 1 species